rnacentral:rRNA from 1 species
UACGUAGGGUGCGAGCGUUGUCCGGAAUUAUUGGGCGUAAAGAGCUCGUAGGCGGUGUGUCGCGUCGGCCGUGAAAACCUGCAGCUUAACUGUGGGCUUGCGGUCGAUACGGGCAUCACUGGAGUUCGGCAGGGGAGACUGGAAUUCCUGGUGUAGCGGUGAAAUGCGCAGAUAUCAGGAGGAACACCGGUGGCGAAGGCGGGUCUCUGGGCCGAUACUGAUGCUGAGGAGCGAAAGCGUGGGGAGCGAAUGGG